GUAAUAUGUAUGCUGUGCAUUUAUUUAUUUUUUGUUUUUUAGAGCAAUAUAAGCUUGCUUUCCACAGUUGCGCUGCAGAUUUAUUUUGCCAAAAGCAUCCAAGUGUCUAAAAGCUUGGUGUAUUGCAAAGCAAACUGGAGACAUACAGCCUGCUCCUUAGGAGUGUAUGUGCUUUGUCAAAGGAAUAGAAAAACUGUAUGUCGAUUGUCCAAAUGAAGAUUUUUAAUUCUACAUUUACGUUAUAAUAUGCAAAGUUAAUUUGGAAUGUGUGUUUACAGAGAUAAUUUGAUAUCUUUAUUGAGGCUGCUUGAUCACAGUAAUUUUCCUAUGGUUCCUUUCAUCAUAGGAAAUGUUACAAAUAAAUAGAGGUCAUUUUAUUUUAUUAAUUUAUAUGCUGGUGAUUCCAGCAAAGCAUUUUUGUUUUGUUUUGUUUUUAAAAGACUUUAUUUUUUAGAGCAGUUUUAGGUGCACAGCAAAAUUGAGCAGACGGUGCAGAGAGUUCCCAUAAACCCCUCUCCCCCUACACGUGCACGGCCUCCCCUAACAUCGACAUCCCACACCAGAGCAGUACAUUUGUUAAAACCGAUGCACCUCCAUUGACACAUCAUAGUCACCUAAACUCCAUAGUUUACAGCAGUGAACCUUACAGCUCACUCGAUGUCGUACAUUCUGUAGGUUUGGACAAAUAUAUAAUGACAUGCAUCCAUCAUUAUGGUGUCAUUCAGAGUAUUUUCACUGCCCUAAAAGCCCUCUGUGCUCCACCUAUCCAUCCCUUCCGCAACCCCUGGCAACCACUGAUCUUUUUAUCGUCUCCACAGGUUUGCCUUUUCCAGAAUAUCUUAUAGUUGGAAUCAUAAAGCGUGUAGCCUUUUCAGACUGUCUUCUUCCCCUUAGUAAUAUGCAUUUAAGCUUUCUCCACAGCUUUUCAUGAUUUGAUGGUUCAUUUCUUUUUAGCGCUGAAUAAUAUUCCGUUGUCUGGAUGUGCCGUAGUUUAUCCAUUAACCACUGAAGGACAUCUUGAUUGCUGCCAUGUUUUGGCAAUCAUGAAUAAAACUUCUAUAAACACUUGUGUGCAGGUGUUUGUGUGGACAUUAGUUUUCAGCUCCUUUGGAGCACAAUUGCUGGAUCAUAUGGUAAGAGUAUGUUUCGUUUUGUAAGAACCCACCAAACUGUCUUCCGAAGUGGCUGUACCAUUUUGCAUUCACAAUUUAAGAGGAAGGUGAUAAUUAAGGAGGUAGAUAAAAAUACAUAUAUAUAGGGAUUUUGAGACUGAACUGUCAGUUACAUUGUUUCAAUAGACAAAUCCAAUUUGGAAUUCAUGCUAGUUUAUUAAAAUUCCAAAUAUGAGUGAAAGAACUCCCCAAAUUACUAAGCCAUUUUAUUCACAAAAGUAUUUAUGUACUGAGAUGAUUGUGCUGAAUACCAUGCCUGUUAGAUGAGAAUGAAGAUGCAGUUCUUUCUUCAAACAGCUCAUAGUCUAGGUCUGGGGAAGACAAAUAAACGUAAUAUAAAAAUAGUGUGUUAAUCAUCCAGCCGAUAGAACACCACCAUUCCAAGCCCCAAUUCUACGCAGAACAUCUAGUAAAUUUAUGAUUUCCAUUUGCGUAGAAGGGAGCUAAGGGUCCGUUUAUGGUAAAGAGGGCUAAAUUUUAGAAGAAAGUUUUACUUCUUGGUGUAGCCAUAUUUGAAGUAACCCCAAUUCCUAAAAGCGUAUCUUGUUCGAUUACUAUUCAACAAAAAUACCUUUAAAAAGUCACUCAGUUUGGGUUGUUCAGUCUUGGGGGAAAAAACCCAUUUGUCCUCCUCUGUCUUUGGCUCCCUGUUCAGAUAGGAAUUUCUCAGGCCCUACCCUCCAUGUCUUAGGUCCCAGGGGUCUCAUUUGGACCCAAAGACAAGCCCUAGUGUGGUGUGGCCCUGCCAGGGUAGGGUGCUUAUGGCCCAGCACUAACUCCAUUACCAAUCUCAGAAAUCGUUCUUAUUCCCCUGGCAUACAACUUAAUACUAACAUUGAAAUUAAACAGCUCUCCUUUAACCCUUUUACCAUGGUCAUUGUCUGAGAAGAGGAAUUUUAUCUAAAAAUGGCAGCCUUGCAUUUGAUCUUAGUGGUCUAUAAACUUUUAGAAUAAGGUUACUCUUUCUUAAGACUAUUAGUCUUUUUGUUUCUUCUGUCCUGUGAAAGCAGCCUCAAAUGUGACUGAAAAUAUGUUUAAAGAUAGGAGCACCGAGUGUGUUUUUCCUUAAGUUUCAUAUCCACAUUUAAUUGCAAUUGGAACCCAAGUGCUCGAUAAGUGUUUGCUGAAUGAAUAAAUGCCGCUUUACGUCCUGGUUCCAAGGCCAUCCCUAGGGAACUUUAAAUUCAACACAUAGACUUAAACCUUGAAAUGUGUGGAAACCACUUGACGACUGGCUGAAACUACAGUGAAGGCGUCCAGCCAGGGAGAAGGAGGGUAGGUCAACAGGUUCUAAAACACACCGACUGUGCUGUCCUGUCCCUUCCGUCUGCAGCACUGUGGAGGUGCUGUCCUGCCCAGUCAUAUUCUCACCUCCAAGACUGCUUUGCUGGUCACUUUAAGCAUAUACUUACAUUAAGUUACAGAGGGAGAGGUUGACUGCAUGAAGUAGUUUAUCCAAUUUCCAUCUCUGAGAGACAGCCUAGCAUCUUUUUGUAAGCAUCAUAAAUAAAAAGAUUUAGAACAACAAAAUCGAUCAAAUCCCCUUAGAAUGAAGGCGACUUUGGCGAACAUACAGAUCCUGUUGGUUACAGAUGAGGAAACAAAUGCCCAGAGAGAUAGAUCCAGAGAUGAUAUUCCUGAAUUCACGCACAUGGGUGACAGAACUGGGAAUGGAAUCUUUUGUGUAUCGAACCUUUGUGACGUGCUGGAAGAGGUGGCCCUUUCAGAGCAGAACAAUGUAAAUUUAAAGGCCAGGUUUUCUCACAGGCCUCCAGCUUCAUUAAGAUAAAGAUCUGUAUUGUACUUACACCCCACAUUUCAGUCUGGGGUAUUUACUGUUUCAGGCAGCAUUUGCUGAAAGCAAAACAAAAUUGAAAAAGAAGGGGCACGUUUUUAAAACAGGCGUCUUAUGGAAUUCCACUACUGUAGAAGACAUACGGAAUUUGUCUAAGCGCUGAAGAGUGAAGUGAGAAUUAGGUACAUAUAUGGAAAAUUCAAGCAGCUAGUUCUUCCCUUUUCUCAAACAUGCUUGGUCCAUAAGAGGCGCUGGAUGCAUAGUGUCUGAAUGAGCCGUCUUACCAAUCAGAGCUUCCAUCCCUCCAUGUGUAAAUUACUACAAUAGCCUCUUUACCCACACUCCUAGGUCUUCUUUAUUCCGCAGUCCAUCCAUCUUUGUACUUUCUGCCAAACUAAUCCACAACUGACAAACUUUGCUCCGUCAUGUUACCGCCCAUCC
rnacentral:lncRNA from 1 species